rnacentral:rRNA from 1 species
CCUACGGGCGGCAGCAGUGAGGAAUAUUGGUCAAUGGGCGAGAUCCUGAACCAGCCAAGCCGCGUGAGGGAAGAAGGUACAACGUAUCGUAAACCUCUUUUGUCAGAGAACAAAACCCGGGACGUGUCCCCGACUGCGUGUAUCCGAAGAAAAAGCAUCGGCUAACUCCGUGCCAGCAGCCGCGGUAAUACGGAGGAUGCGAGCGUUAUCCGGAUUUAUUGGGUUUAAAGGGUGCGGAGGCGGCCCGUUAAGUCAGCGGUAAAAGUGUGGGGCUCAACCCCGGCGAGCCGUUGAAACUGGCGGGGUUGAGUGGGAGAGAAGUACGCGGAAUGCGCGGUGUAGCGGUGAAAUGCAUAG